GGGCUUAGUGGUCGGCCCAAUCUGAGUUCGGUAAAGAGCGUCCGAAUCUUAUCCUCCAUUCGCGCCUCCAAGGCUUCGAAUUUAGCAUUGAUUGCCUCCUUAGAUGCCAUAGUAUAUGCCUCCAAAUCUAUGAUGUUAAAAUCUCUCUUUUGUUGUUAGGUUAAAGGCAUGUAUAGGUUGAGAGAAGUGAUGGUCGAAAGGGUUGGUGGAUCGGUGGAUGUAGGCUACGAUUUAG
rnacentral:lncRNA from 1 species